GACGUAGGAGGCGAGCGUUGUCCGGAUUCAUUGGGCGUAAAGAGCACGCAGGCGGUUUGGCAAGUCGGAUGUGAAAACCCGGAGCUCAACUCCGGACCUGCAUCCGAAACUGCCCGACUAGAGGUAGGUAGGGGAGAUCGGAAUUCCUGGUGUAGCGGUGAAAUGCGCAGAUAUCGGAAGGAACACCAGUGGCGAAGGCGGCCUCCUGGAUCCAGACUGACACUGAGGCACGAAAGCGUGGGGAGCAAACAGG
rnacentral:rRNA from 1 species